rnacentral:lncRNA from 1 species
CCGAAGACCCAGAACUUGAAUAUUAGUAAGAACAGAAGCACCUGGUAAUCUCAAACUUCAAAAAUAUGGUAGCUUAGGACUGUUUUAUUCUCUGAAUUAUUAUCUCUUUUUUUUUUUUUAAUUUUAAAGAUGUUGAACCUAAUCUGAGUAUAACAGUAUUGAUGUUGUAACUUUCUUUCCAGCCACAGACAUCUUUUUUUUUUUUUAAUUUUAAAGAUGUUGAACCUAAUCUGAGUAUAACAGUAUUGAUGUUGUAACAUGCGAAAGGAAUUAAUGUAAAUAUGUCUGUUAAUGCAAUUUUAGCCUCUUUUCCUCUGCGGAUAAAGUUACUCUGGACACUAAUAUGAACACAAAUUGGCUUACAUAAUUGGAAAAAAAAGCAAUUCUAGCAUUUUUAUUUACUUUUUGUGUGGGGGAUUGGGUUUGGCGGGGUUGGGGGGGUUGGGGUGUGCGUGUGUGUGUGUGAAGACAGAAUUUAAUUGCAAAUAGUAGUAUGAAAGAUAGUUUGUGCAUAUUUGUUAAGACUGACCAACUUCCGAUUUAAUAAAGAAUUAUGGAUUUUUAUUGAGGAGUUUGGAGGUCAGCU